CGCCAAUCGGAUUCAAACAUUUACCGCCAACGCACUAUCAACACAUACUCUUCAAAAGUCAAAGUAACAGCUAAUUGUACUUGUUGAAUCAACUCAUCAAGUUGGUUAUUCAACAAGAUAUACGCAAUUCCCGUAAAAACAGCCGGGUCUUCAUCGGAUCCCGAUGGUCGUAGCGUAUUAGAAGGAUCAAAUUCCUUGACCAUCUGUUCUUUAAAAGCUUCCCGUCCCAAUACCGUAAGGGCAAGUUUACAGAGUAGGUUACACUGUGCCAAAACUGCUAAGGUCGUGAACAUUCGAACCAAGCUCAUGAAUUUUAGUUGAUUCCAAAGUAGUAUUUUUUCCUCAGCACUCACUUCCGACAUCCUUGUUUCUCGUAACUCUUGAAUAAUCGGAAGUAAAGGGAUCCUCCGAAUUAUCUCAUCCUUCAAUAUAUGAAAUGUGGAAAUUGCGCUCGUAGCGCCAUUAGACUGAACAGUAUUGAAGGCUUCAACAUAUCUUAUUUAAGUGCAUCUAAUUAGCUUCAAUUCCGUUAAGUAAUAGAAGACACUUACUUGGACUUGGAAUUUCGUGUUUCCAUAAAUUCCAUAAAAGCAUUCCUUAUACAUGUAUCCGCGCAAUAAAAUCCCAGAACUGGAAUAGAGCUACCCAAAAUGAAGUUACAGCAUUUUCUUGAUACAGCGUUCAAAUGUUUUUCAAACGAUUUUAGCAUUUCUAUUCGCCUGAUCUAGUGUCCCGUCCAGCUAGUGAAGAGACGUUUGUUGCACUUUCAAUAUAUUAGGAUUGCAACGAAUUCUUCAAUGUAAACAGGGCACUUACGUUGGUGUUAACAGCAAAAAUUUUAGAUGUGAUGUUGGUUGGAUAUAGUAGGAAAAUCAUAUGCUGCCCAUAAUCCCUCAAGUUGAUAGGCAUCUAAAGUAUUUGUCUCUAAUAAACUAACUUAUACUGAGAAAUAGUCACCUAGGUAAAAAAUUAUUUUCCUUCUAUAGCCCGUGAACUUUGAAUUGUUGUUUACUUCAGAAACAAUACAAAAAUAAUGAAAGCGAAAACACAUUUUUGGUUGGAUUGAGUAUAUUGAUCAUUUUUUUAAUAAAUAAACAUAAAAAUGAAUUAAUUUUGAGUGUUUUCAUAAUGCUACAAUCAAUAUAUCCAUUUACGACAACGUUGCUAUACCCAAUAGAUUUAUAAGGUAUUUAGUUACUUUCAAAAUGUAUAAGCUACUUGGUUCAUUAAAAAAUUUUCUUUCAGACAAAUGCCCUUUUGUCUAACCGCUAACUCUCAGACAUUUUCG